rnacentral:tRNA from 1 species
AUUCUUGUAGUUGAAUCAACAACAGUUUUUCAGAUUGUAGGUCUAGGUUAAAAUCCUAGUGGGAAUG